CAAUAAUAUCAUUUCAUCCAUUUCUCUUUGACAUCACAGUUUCUCUCAAUCCAAUACCCAUAAACCCUAAUCAGAGAGUUGUCGUCACUGCUUUCAUCCUCAUUUCUCCCACACAAGCAUCGCAUUCGACCUCCAUCUCCACCGUCUCUCUUCAAUCACACCGAUUUUCCGACAACGAACCCCCACCAUAAUCCAUACUUGCCUCUCUCUCUAACUUUAUUUACGAUCCAACCCCACCACCACUCAUCGUUACAAGCAUCGCAAUCGAUGCUUCCCUCACAUCCACCACUAACUGAUGGCCAUGCUCCAAAUCUAUCAUCAGUGACAUGUCCCCUUCAACCAACCCUAACCAAAUAUUUAUCCUUCCUCCAUCUCCGCCCUCCUAUCUACAAUUUCAGGGGAGAUGCAGUCCGCACUUGGGGCUGCUACAGAUGAUGUUGUACUUUCUUUUUUGACAUGAGGAUGUUUUCUUGAUUUCCUUUAAUGACGCGUGUGGAAUUUCCCCUAAAGCUUAUCAUCCUUCUUUUGUUAUCUGGGAUGACACACUCUUUCAAUUUGCUGGUAUCUUUUUCAAGAUUCAAGCUAUAUAUUAAAAAAGUGAACGAUUAGUUUGUAUCUUUUUUUGCAAUAUUCAACCUACAACCUUUGGAAAUCGAUGGUAUGUUUGUUUUUUAAGGUACAUCUAAUUGUUUUAAAAUAGAAAAGUGAAAUUUACAUUGUUAUUAGUUUUAAUUUUAAUAUGAUAUAUAAUAUUUUUAAUUGCAUUUGGUUCAUCAGGUCUGUUUAUCUACUUAUGGUUCUUGAUUUUUAGUUAGAUGAACUAUCAAUUAUGGAACUUAAAGCAAUGUUGAAGGGUUGACCUGAUAUUGUUUAUUAUGGGUAAAAGGAAGUUAAUAAAAAUAUACUUGAAAAUAUCAAAAAAUUUGUCUUUAUGACAAUUAAGUGAAUUUUUUGAAGUAGAUUUAUAGAAGGCCAUUGUCGUGUCGUCGAUUACUGCAACAAAUGAUUUUGUUCAAAAGAAACAUGGAUAAACAUAUUCACCUUCAAUUUUCUUCCAUGUCUCGCUUCCAAAACAAAUUCCAACCAAGAAAUAAGAAUCAGAUAUCUAAUGUAGAAGAGCAAUUAGAUAUCGAUUCUAUGUGAAUAGUAAAGUUUCAAAAAUAGAGAAAAAAAUAAAAACAGGUAUGUUUCAAAGGCAAAUUGUUGCUACAUAAUCAGGUAAUGCAUGUGAUUUUGUAGAUUUUAUGGUAAAACAUGUGAUUUUGUGGUAUGAUCGACGAGAAAAUCUCUAUUUUAGGCAAAACUAUGGUCAUGGAAUGUGUAUGAUUAGUAAUUGUAGUCAUUAUUUAUGUAAUUUCUUUGUUUUUUACUUUGUUAUUUGUAACAUACAUAAUUGUAUCUUUUUGUUGGCCUUGAUCUAUGAUCAUCACUAAUUAGACGGGGCUGUUGAAACGAGUUUUGAUGAGGUUCAUAAUGUUUUGAAAUUGCAGGAUACAAAAGCUUGACUAAAUAUUCAGUUGAAAAUAUACAUAAAGUCAAAGGACCACAAGUUCCAAGGACCGCUUUCCUUAUAAAAUGAAUCGUGGUUGAGAAUUCUGGAUACUUUUGUCACUGACAGGUUUUAAUCUGUUUCAUGCAAUGGAAUUUUAAUAUUACAGUAUUAUGGUAAUUUCAUUUGGUGCUUUGUGUAUGAUUUUAGUUUAGAUGAUUAAUGCAGAAUUAUAUUAUUUCAUUUAUGGUCGGCCAAUACAUAUCCAAUACAUAUGAUGUAAGGUGCAUUCAUUACAAAGAGAAUCAUCAGGCUUGUUCACUGAUUUUUCAUAAUUUAUAUUUUCUCAACUUUUUUUUUAAUUUUUUUUAUUUUGAAUUUCAAUAUUUUGUGUUUUAAAGGACAUUGAUGGUGGUGGUGCCGCCUGCACCCUUUAACCAUCCACUGCCAUGGAUGUCAUCACCGAAAUCAUAUUGUGCCGCCUUCAACUACUUUCCAGGUAUUGUCCCUUUCUUUUGGAUUUUCAUUUUCUAAUUCUUUUCUCUCCCUUAAUUUUUCCAUGGUAAUUACUUGGCUCCCUUCACUAUAUCUGAGAAUUUUCGUCUCUAAUUCCAUAUUCCAAUUUUAGAUACACGAUUCUAACCAGAAAUCUGUCAAUGAACCAUUGGUAACAGUAUGGAUCUAUGUUCUUUAGCUGCAAUUUUCAUAUGUUUUAAUAUCAUUUUGAAAGCCUUUAUUGAUAUUUGUAUAGCGGUUAGACAUGUGUUUAUAAACAUUUUUGUUGUUAUUAGGAGACAGGUUUGGGAUAAUCAAACUCAAUGUGUGCAAACAUACACAAAGGUAAGUUAUAUAGUUUUUUAAUCUUUCAAUGGGACUAUAUGUGGGAAUUCAUGAAAGGGUAAUAUAGAAAAAUUCAGCUUAGUUCUUUAACAUGUAAAAGUUGUAUCAGCUGCUACAGAUUGGACUUUUUUGUUGUUUUUAUUCACCUUUUUGAAGUUUUCUUAAGUAUUUGGCUGGUUUUAAAUUGUGGCAAAAA